AUUUGCAAUUACCACCCUGUAUUUUCAAUAUAGCACCCCGGUAGGGGUUGGCUUGUUCUCCCACCCGUCGACCGCUGCCAUCCUCCGAGCCCGUCCGCCGGCAGCGCCUAGCGUUAUCCCAUCCAUCCAGUACCUAGCAUCAGCGAGCUCUCUGUGAUUCGAGCGGAACAGCUCGUCAGCAAGCGAGGAGCCCUGUGGCCAGGGCGGCGGCCGUCGCGUGGCGUCCCAGAGCUUCGUCCGCUGUCCGGGCCCAGAUGUUCGCCGCGGCCGGCAGCCAGCCGGUGCUUCGCCUGCAGCCGGAGACGGUGCGCUGCUGUGUUUUCCAUCAGCGAUCCAGAGCCAGCUACUGCGGCUACCCACGAGAGACGAGAAGGCGUGGAGCCUGAUGUUUCUCGCCCAUCUCAGACGGCCGAUAGGUGUUCGUGGAAAUGCUUCUUAGGUGCAAAUUUGAUGGGGACGGCUGAGCGCGACACAUUUUCAGGCGCCGUGCUCAAAUCGGAGCAUGUGUAAUCGAGGGGGGCGCUGCCUCUCUUGCAUAGCUCGGCCUCGUUGGAAUUCUAAAUCGACAAGGAUUAUGCAGUGCCGUGCCAUGCCGUAUGCCGAGGAGCUGAACAAUCUCGUACAGGCUUGCAUCGCCCGGCUACUCCUGGCCACAGUCACCAGGAAAAUCAUGUCCGUGAUGGUCAGAGGAGAUGGUGAUUCAUGGGUCAGAUUUCUCUGGGCCCUUUUGGGUUUCUGACACAAUGAUGGGGCACCAGGUUCCAGUGCUCUGAGGUGGUGGUUCACAUCUACACAUAUCCACUGAUGGUCCAAAGGAGAGUGACGCCAAAACCGUACACAUCGCACUUCAUCGAUAUAAUAUGUUCAUGUACGUACUCUGGAGCUGUAAAUCCCCUGAAUGAUCAAGUAAAAUGAAAAUGAUGUAAGAGAAGAUAAAUAAAUCAAAAUUGAAAAGUGCUUUAUGCACAUCUUGGUCC